rnacentral:rRNA from 1 species
UACGUAGGGGGCGAGCGUUGUCCGGAUUUACUGGGCGUAAAGCGCGCGUAGGCGGAGCGUUAAGUCCGGUCUGAAAGCCCCCCGGCUCAACCGGGGAAGGUGGCUGGAAACUGGCGCACUGGAGGGCGGCAGAGGCGUGUGGAAUUCCUGGUGUAGCGGUGAAAUGCGUAGAUAUCGAGAGGAACACCUGCGGCGAAGGCGGGUUGCUGGGCUGAUACUGACGCUGAGGCGCGAAAGCCAGGGGAGCGAACGGG